AGUGAACGCUGGCGGUAGGCCUAACACAUGCAAGUCGAACGGCAGCACAGUAAGAGCUUGCUCUUACGGGUGGCGAGUGGCGGACGGGUGAGGAAUACAUCGGAAUCUACUUUUUCGUGGGGGAUAACGUAGGGAAACUUACGCUAAUACCGCAUACGACCUACGGGUGAAAGCAGGGGAUCUUCGGACCUUGCGCGAUUGAAUGAGCCGAUGUCGGAUUAGCUAGUUGGCGGGGUAAAGGCCCACCAAGGCGACGAUCCGUAGCUGGUCUGAGGGGAUGAUCAGCCACACUGGAACUGAGACACGGGCCAGACUCCUACGGGAGGCAGCAGUGGGGAAUAUUGGACAAUGGGCGCAAGCCUGAUCCAGCCAUACCGCGUGGGUGAAGAAGGCCUUCGGGUUGUAAAGCCCUUUUGUUGGGAAAGAAAAGCAGCAGGUUAAUACCCCGCUGUUCUGACGGUACCCAAAGAAUAAGCACCGGCUAACUUCGU
rnacentral:rRNA from 1 species